GUGGGGAAUAUUGCGCAAUGGGCGAAAGCCUGACGCAGCAACGCCGCGUGAGGGAUGACGGCCUUCGGGUUGUAAACCUCUUUCAGCAGGGAAGAAGCGAAAGUGACGGUACCUGCAGAAGAAGCACCGGCUAACUACGUGCCAGCAGCCGCGGUAAUACGUAGGGUGCAAGCGUUGUCCGGAUUUAUUGGGCGUAAAGAGCUCGUAGGCGGUUAGUCACGUCGGAUGUGAAAACCAGGAGCUUAACUCCUGGCCUGCAUUCGAUACGGGCUGACUAGAGUGUUGUAGGGGAGACUGGAACUCCUGGUGUAGCGGUGAAAUGCGCAGAUAUCAGGAAGAACACCGGUGGCGAAGGCGGGUCUCUGGGCAACUACUGACGCUGAGGAGCGAAAGCGUGGGGAGCAAACAGGAUUAGAAACCCCGGUAGUCC
rnacentral:rRNA from 1 species